rnacentral:rRNA from 1 species
AUUGAACGCUGGCGGCAGGCCUAACACAUGCAAGUCGAGCGGAUGAAGGGAGCUUGCUCCUGGAUUCAGCGGCGGACGGGUGAGUAAUGCCUAGGAAUCUGCCUGGUAGUGGGGGAUAACGUCCGGAAACGGGCGCUAAUACCGCAUACGUCCUGAGGGAGAAAGUGGGGGAUCUUCGGACCUCACGCUAUCAGAUGAGCCUAGGUCGGAUUAGCUAGUUGGUGGGGUAAAGGCCUACCAAGGCGACGAUCCGUAACUGGUCUGAGAGGAUGAUCAGUCACACUGGAACUGGGACACGGGCCAGACUCCUACGGGAGGCAACAGUGGGGAAUAUUGGACAAUGGGCGAAAGCCUGAUCCAGCCAUGCCGCGGGUGUGAAGAAGGUCUUCGGAUUUGUAAGCACUUUAAGUUGGGAGGAAAGGCAGUAAGUUAAUACCUUGCUGUUUUGACGUUACCAACAGAAUAAGCACCGGGUAACUUCGUG